GAGCGGCGAACGGGUGAGUAACACAUCGGAACGUACCCUAUCGUGGGGGAUAGCUCGGCGAAAGCCGGAUUAAUACCGCAUACGACCUGAGGGUGAAAGCGGGGGAUCGCAAGACCUCGCGCGACAGGAGCGGCCGAUAUCGGAUUAGCUAGUUGGUGAGGUAAAGGCUCACCAAGGCGACGAUCCGUAGCUGGUCUGAGAGGACGACCAGCCACACUGGAACUGAGACACGGUCCAGACUCCUACGGGAGGCAGCAGUGGGGAAUUUUGGACAAUGGGGGCAACCCUGAUCCAGCCAUUCCGCGUGAGUGAAGAAGGCCUUCGGGUUGUAAAACUCUUUCGGCAGGAACGAAACGGUGAGCUCUAACAUAGCUUGCUAAUGACGGUACCUGAAGAAGAAGCACCGGCUAACUACGUGCCAGCAGCCGCGGUAAUACGUAGGGUGCGAGCGUUAAUCGGAAUUACUGGGCGUAAAGCGUGCGCAGGCGGCUCCAUAAGACAGAUGUGAAAUCCCCGGGCUUAACCUGGG
rnacentral:rRNA from 1 species